UGAGGAAUAUUGGUCAAUGGGCGCAAGCCUGAACCAGCCAUGCCGCGUGAAGGAAGAAGGUUCUAUGGAUUGUAAACUUCUUUUAUUUAGGAAUAAACCUCCCGACGUGUCGGGAGCUGAAGGUACUAAAUGAAUAAGCACCGGCUAACUCCGUGCCAGCAGCCGCGGUAAUACGGAGGGUGCAAGCGUUAUCCGGAAUCAUUGGGUUUAAAGGGUCCGCAGGCGGACUUAUAAGUCAGUGGUGAAAUCCUGCAGCUCAACUGCAGAACUGCCAUUGAUACUGUAAGUCUUGAAUUUGAUCGGAGUGGGCGGAAUGUGUAGUGUAGCGGUGAAAUGCAUAGAUAUUACACAGAACACCGAUAGCGAAGGCAGCUCACUAGGUUAU
rnacentral:rRNA from 1 species